ACAGAAUUCCACGAGUUUUGUUGUUUAUCUGUUUCUGCAGGGGGUUAUCAGGAAAUAAGGAAGAAAGGCCCACAUGUCAGGAUUACAUAGAGAUAUCAACGCACCGCGUAAUUUUACAUCAUCUAGAAGACUCCAGAAGCCACGAGAUCGAAGCGGAGGCAAAACUGGGCCAGGCCCAGGGCGCCCGCCCUGGUAGCCUGGGCGCCCGCCCCCCUGUUGGAGCCAAUUCAGGACUCCUUCGCUCGGGAUAUUCCACCGACCUAUUGGAUCAAGAAAAACAUAGUACCACCUCGCCUAUCGACCCAAAAACGCAUAGAAGGGGAGGACUAUAUAAGCAAGGCCCCCCUGGCCCCUGGAUGACAUGAAGAAAUUAUCAUAGAGACUG
rnacentral:lncRNA from 1 species